UUUUUUCUAAUUUUAGGAUCAUUAAUUAUCAAAAUAGGGGAUUUUUAUUUUUUUAUUUUAGGGUCAUUAAUUAUCGAAAUAAGGAAUUUCUAUAUUGAAUCUGUGAUUGAGUGUAAUGCAAGUAUAAUCGGAGUAUAAUUCUAGUAAUACACUCCAAAUCUAUCGAAACUUCUCUAUAACAAUUAUAAUAUAAUUCUAAU
rnacentral:lncRNA from 1 species